rnacentral:lncRNA from 1 species
GGAACACUGGCACCCAGCUGGUUCCUGCUCACCACAGCGAUCAGGUGAACACAUAGCUUCCCAUGAGGGUUUUACUUUCCCUAUACUAAAGAAGAAAAAACAGAUCUUCAGCUCUUCAGGACUUCUAGUUUCUGCUUUAUGCUUGCUGAAUCAAAAGUAAUACUCAAGUAAGUAAAGAAGGGUGCUCA